AAUUAAUGAGCUUGUCUAAGCUUUUGUUUUGAAAACUUAAGAAAGAAAAUUAUAUUUCUAUUAAUUU
rnacentral:tRNA from 1 species